UUGGAAGGGUGGAGAAUCGCUCCUGGCGCGAGCCAGGGGAGGAAAGUCCGAACACCACAGGGCGCGAUGCCGCGUAACCUGUCGCCGCUGACGCAAGGAGGCGGACUUCAGGAUACACGCGGGCGGUGACGGCGCGAGUCGUCCCAACGGACAGUGCCACAGAAAACAGACUACCUGUUCCGGCGACGGAGCGGGAAAAGGUGAAAAGGUGGUGUAAGAGACCACCGCUCGUCGAGUAAUCGGCGGGGCACGGAAAACCCCAUCGGGUGCAAGGCCAAAUAGGGAACCCCGGAGCGGCCCGCUCCAGCGUCCGCGAAAGCGGAACGGGUUCCGGGUAUGGCUGCUGAGAUAAAUGAUUCUCUCCCGCGGAGAAGUCCGUGGCAGACAGAAUUCGGCUUACAGCCCUUCCAAAACC
rnacentral:RNase_P_RNA from 1 species